AGGUUUAUUUAAGUGGGCUGCAAACCUGCUGAUUCUUUAUAAGGUUAGACCUA
rnacentral:tRNA from 1 species